rnacentral:rRNA from 1 species
CCCUUAGAUGUUCUGGGCCGCACACGCGCUACACUGAAGGAGGCAGCGUGUACUCCUGGAUCGAAAGAUUUGGGUAACCCGCGAAUCUCCUUCGUGCUAGGGAUUGAGGUUUGCAAUUAUCCUUCAUGAACGAGGAAUUCCCAGUAAGUGCAAGUCAUAAGCUUGCGCUGACUACGUCCCUGCCCUUUGUACACACCGCCCGUCGCUACUAUUGAUUGAAUGAUUUAGUGAGGACUUCGGACUGGGACCGAUGCGGCUUUCGGGCUGCGUCGGUAUUCUGGAAAGAUGUCCAAACUGUAUCAUUUAGAGGAAGUAAAAGUCGUANCA